UGGCCCGUAGCUCAACAGUGGAGCGCCGCACUUUUAAUGCGGAGGCUCCGGGUUCGAGUCCCGGCGGGCCAA
rnacentral:tRNA from 1 species